rnacentral:rRNA from 1 species
UACAGAGGUCUCAAGCGUUGUUCGGAUUCAUUGGGCGUAAAGGGUGCGUAGGCGGCGCGGUAAGUCGGGUGUGAAAUCUCGGGGCUUAACUCCGAAACUGCAUUCGAUAACUGCCGUGCUUGAGGACUGGAGAGGAGACUGGAAUUUACGGUGUAGCGGUGAAAUGCGUAGAGUAUCGAUAAGGAAGACCAGUGGCGAAGGCGGGUCGUCUGG